AGAGUUUGAUCCUGGCUCAGAUUGAACGCUGGCGGCAUGCCUUACACAUGCAAGUCGAACGGUAACAGGCUUCGGACGCUGACGAGUGGCGAACGGGUGAGUAAUACAUCGGAACGUGCCCAGUCGUGGGGGAUAACUACUCGAAAGAGUAGCUAAUACCGCAUACGAUCUGAGGAUGAAAGCGGGGAGCCUUCGGGCCCUCGCCGCGAUUGGAGCGGCCGAUGGCAGAUUAUGGUAGUUGGUGGGAUAAAAGCUUACCCAAGCCGAGCCGAUUCUUGUAGCUUGGUCUGAAGAGGACGACCAGCCACACUGGGACUGAGGACCACGGCCCAGACUCCCUACGGGAGGCAGCAGUGGGGGAAUUUUGGACAAUUGGGCGAAAGCCUGAUCCAACAAUGCCCGCGUGCAGGAUGAAGGCCCUUUCGGGUUGUAAACUGCUUUUUUACGGAACGAAAAAGCUCCUUUCUAAUACAGGGGGCCCAUGACGGUACCGUAAGAAUUAAGCUACCGGCUAAUCUACCGUUGCCAGCAGCCCGCGGUAAUACGUAGGGUGCAAAGCGUUAAUUCUGGAAUUACUGGGCGUUAAAGCGUGGCGGCAGGCUGGUUAUUGUAAGACCAGAUGGUGAAAUCCCCCGGGCUUCUAACCUGGGGAAACUUGCAUUUUGUGGACUGCCAUUGGCUUAGAGUACGCGUAGAGGGGGAUGGAAUUCCGCCGUGUAGCUCAGUGAAAUGCGUAGACUAUGCGGAGGAACACCGAUGGCGCUAAGGCAAUCCCCUGGACCUGUACUUGUACGACUUCAUGCACGAAAGCGUGGGGAGCAAACAGGAUUAGAUACCCUGGUAGUCCACGCCCUAAACGAUGUCAACUGGUUGUUGGGAAUUAGUUUUCUCAGUAACCUAGCUAACGCGUGAAGUUGACCGCCUGGGGAGUACGGCCGCAAGGUUGAAACUCAAAUGAAUUGACGG
rnacentral:rRNA from 1 species